rnacentral:sRNA from 1 species
ACCCUGGCUUUCUCUGCUAGAAGCGUGAC